UCGAGAAUCUUCCGCAAUGGGCGCAAGCCUGACGGAGCGACACCGCGUGCAGGAUGAAGGCCUUCGGGUUGUAAACUGCUGUCACGCUAUAGGAAUCAAUGACCAAAGCGAGAGGAAGCACCGGCUAACUCUGUGCCAGCAGCCGCGGUAAGACAGAGGGUGCAAACGUUGUUCGGAAUUACUGGGCAUAAAGAGCACGUAGGCGGCUCGUCUAGUCACGCGUGAAAUCCCCCGGCUCAACCGGGGAACUGCGCGUGAUACUGGCGGGCUUGAGGUCGGUAGGGGUGAGCGGAACUCCAGGUGGAGCGGUGAAAUGCGUAGAUAUCUGGAGGAACACCGGUGGCGAAGGCGGCUCACUGGACCGAAACUGACGCUGAGGUGCGAAAGCCAGGGUAGCAAACGGGAUUAGAUACCCCCGUAGUCC
rnacentral:rRNA from 1 species